rnacentral:lncRNA from 1 species
UAGAAUGAAUUAUACAGAUAUAUUUACUAUAAGGCAUAACAAUGUAAAGAAAGGGGUCUCUUUAUUAAUAUACUAACAAAUUAUACAUUGUCUUUGACGAAAAUGCAACAUAUAAUACACGUUUUGCAUACAAUACGAUGUUCACAACAUCAACUGUAACUUUCGCAUCAACAUUAAUAAUGAACAAAAUUAGGCUUUCAUUUUACAAAAGUACUGAAU